rnacentral:rRNA from 1 species
GUCUACGGCCAUGCCACCCUGAGUAAGCCCGAUCCAGUCUGAUCUUGGAAGCUAAGCAGUGUUGGGCCUGAUUAGCACUUGGAUGAGAGACCACCUAGGAAGACCAGGUGCUAUAGGCG